rnacentral:rRNA from 1 species
CCUACGGGAGGCAGCAGUAAGGAAUAUUGGACAAUGGGCGCAAGCCUGAUCCAGCCAUGCCGCGUGCAGGAUGACGGUCCUAUGGAUUGUAAACUGCUUUUGUACAGGAAGAAACACUCCCUCGUGAGGGAGCUUGACGGUACUGUAAGAGUAAGGAUCGGCUAACUCCGUGCCAGCAGCCGCGGUAAU